ACCGAACCACUGUAACCAGUCGAGAACGAUCAACAUCAGAAAAAGCAUCCGCAUCUCUACAACGGUGAAAGACCAAUAGACUUAAUAUUUAAUGAGGAGAUUUGGGUUCAGAUCUCUUCUAAUUAGUCACAUGCACUAAUGUAAUGACUAAUAUAGUUUGGGUCAGCAUAUUUCAUGUCUCACCAACCUAGUUAGCAUGGGUGAACUCGGGUCAACAAGUAACCUAAUACAAAACAUAAUCUCCCAAGAUGGCC
rnacentral:lncRNA from 1 species